rnacentral:lncRNA from 1 species
ACUUUCCAUGAGGUAGCAUGCAAACAAUGUAGGAUGUUUGAAUGCCCUAAAAAGGGCGUUCAAAGGUCCUUUUGUGUUUUCCCACCUUAUUUUAUUUUUCGUCAUAAAUUUACUUUGAAUUUCAAUUCAAUUCCAAAUUUAAUAUUUAUUGUAAUAUCAUAACACUCCAAAUAUAUAUUUACCUCAAUCAAAUUUCAAGUUUAAGUAUAUUAAACUUACUCAUGAUGGUAAAUGACAAAAUCAAUGCAUAAAUGAAAUACAAAUUGUCAAACUAAUCUAAAACAUCAUCACGUAGUUGUGAUAUGACUUUAUUUUAUUUUUCACUUUUUGAGUCUAUGCAAUUGAAAUAGACAUCUUUCUUCUCCUUCUUCAUUUUGACAUUAAUAUCCGUGUAAUCGCGAACACACACAUAUCUUAAAAUUACACAUACAUAUAUCUUAAAAUGAGAGUCAUUGAGAGCUUGGAAUGGUUGACAUUUCUUGAUGUUUGUUAGAAAGUAACAUCAUCUCUUAUAAGCUAAUUUUAGUUUCUAAUACGUUGCCUUCUUUAUUGUGAUUUGAAGUAUUAUUAUUAUUAUAAGAAAGUGAUUAUUAUAGGCAAUCGCUUUUAUAUCGUGAUUAUUAUAUACAAUCAACUUUAUACCGUGAUUAUUAUAUACAAUCAACUUUAUACCAUAAACACUCGAACGUAAUAAAAUUUGUCAAUGACAGAUUCAUCAACUUGUUUUGGAUAACGAUCUGAAAGACAAUUUUUUUCCUUUUUAUUUUUAUAACUAAUUUUAAUUACACAUUGAUUUUUAAUAAAAAUGUCUUUAUCAUCUUCCGAUCUAACUUCUAUUGCUACACAUGGUAAGAAACCUACGAAGACCUUAAGUGAUGACGACAAAAGAUAUUCUGUCUCCAACUCUAAGUCUUAUUGAGGUUUUGUACGGAGAUGCCUCCUAUUAACGAAGAGUGAACUGAUAAUCAAGUGUAAACAGCGACUGAAACUUGGGAUCAUUCUAAAUUUUUGUGCUAAGGACUAUACUUUAAAUGGUCUGAACAACAUGAAUAACAUCCAAUAAUGUCAUGAAGGGCUUAUGAAUUGCAGGAAGACAACCCUACUUACCUGAAAGAUAAAAGGCAUGUUUGGGCCCUCCAUUUUAUUGUACCACUCGAGACCCAUUUAAUUUGAAAUAUAAAAAUUUAGGAGAUGGCCCUUGUGAUCUCAAAUUUUGAAAUUUGAAGCUAUACAACCAAAGGAAUAGAGAGUAGUAAUUAAAAUAUUUUUUAUAUUUUUAAUUAUUUUUUAACCAAAUUAAAAUAAAAUCAAACACUAGAAAAAGGUUAUAAAUUUCUUCUAAAAAAUGGUUUCAAAAUAGACCUCAUAAUGUUUUAUAAUUAUGGAUAUAAGUAUCCAUUUUGAUACAUUUUUAUUUUUUUGUUUUCAAAAUAUAAAUAAUAAUAAUUUUUAUAUAAGAUAUAAGAAAUUUUAGAUAUUUUCAUCGAACAUGUAAUAAUUUUAAAAAAUUAAGGCAUUUAAAUUUUAAAAAUUUUGCAAGUGAUUUUAAAGAUAUAAGGUAAGUUUAUAAUUUUUUGUGGUCAAAGUUUCUAAUUAUAAAUAAAAAAAUUUAUUCUAAUUAUUUUUUAAUAAAGUAAUAUUUUAAUAUUUAAGAAAUUUAAUUUAAACAAAAGAGAAUGAAAUGAAUUUGAGGAUAUCACUUUCCUUUAUUGGGAAUCGUGUUUUUCAAAACAUUUUUCUUUAGAACCCGACAGGACCACGCAACUUAAACCUCAAGCGGGUCUAUCCACGUGGCGACCACUCUAAGGUUCUCAUUCUGAAAAAUACCGAAACACCCCCAAAAGGAGCACGUGCAUGCGCGUCGCUCCACAUGUCCAGAUCCGUUAAAGAGCGGGAAAAGCCAUUCAUUUCAAAUUCAAAAAUUUCAAACGGUUCUAAGCCAAAGCACAGUAAACACCGAUACCAAAAGCUCUUCUCUCUCUACAGUUUCAUCGCCUGCGAUUUCUACCAGUAUGAGGUAUUUCCAUUUGCAUAGAUCCGUUUCUUUUCUUCUUCUUUUUUUGCAUUUUUUAUUGUAUUUUCUAUCAUUUUUGUUCUCCGCAGAGAUGGAUUUUCGCGGUAUGAAGAGGAAACAACUACAAGCGCUGUGCAAGCAGCAUGGUGUUCCAGCGAAUUCGACGAAUCUUGAGAUGGCUGAUAGGCUCUCCUUGUUUUUUAAGGUUUGGAGUUUACCUUAGCCUUGUUUCCUUUGAUUUUUCUUCUUUUCUGAGAAUGUUCAGGAAAACACAAGAAAUUAGAAUUUUGUAAUUUUGUUUUUUCUCAACUGUUUUCCGUGUCACUAAAUAAGAAUCUUCAAUGAAAUGUGUCCGAUACAACUAUAUGUGGAAUAGAACUUAUAAUUUAGGAAAAGACAAGGAACCAAAAAAUUUAGUGAUUAAAUUUUUUUAUUGUUUUGGAAUAAAGCAAUGAAAAUCUUUACUAUAAUGAGUCCAAAUUCAAGUGUAUGGAACUGAAAUAAGGAAUAUGUCUCUUUUUGGUUGUGAGAAAAUUCAGGAAAAAAUAUGAAGUAAAAUAUUUAGGUAAUUCAGCUUUUCCAUUGUUUGAGGUUUGGGAAACAAGAGUUUUCACUGAAAUGAGUCCUUUAAAACUAUAUGGAAACUGAAAUAACAAGGAUUAAGUUCAGGGAAAGAAAAGGGACUAAAUUUUUUUGUACUUUUGCUUCUCAUCGAGUGGAACCUGGGAAAUAAUUCACUGAAAUGGGUGAAAUUCAAUUAUAUGCAAGCUAAAAUAAAAGGCAAUAUGAGAGUUAGAAGUUUGUUUUGUUUUCUUAAUUUACUUGGUCUCCCUGGCAACCUAACUGAGGUUGAACUUUAAUUGGGAAAUAGAUGCAUGAUUUUUUUCUGUAAUUCUUUGUUGCAGGAAAAGGAAAAACCAGUGACGCAAGGUCGGUCUUGCUUGAAGAAUCUGGAUGGGAUAGAUAGCCUAAAUGAUUCUAAUGCUGUCACCUGCGAUCCCAAGAGAGUUAGGUUUAGUCCUGAAAAUGAGACGUUUGAAUUUGAGGAUUCUGAGAUAGACAGGGAAAACACCCCAGCAAGAACAAGGGCGGCAAGGGCGGCAAGGAGGUCUAGGGUGAGACUGGCUAAAGAGAAAGUGAGUCCUGUUGGUGCAAAUGCUGGAAAUAGUGAGUCCUGUGAGGAAACUAAAGGUACUCUGAACAGAAUCACGAGGCACCAAGGACAAAAAAUCAUAGAGGGGCAUGCAGUGAAGUCUUCAUCACCUCUUGUUAAGGAAAAGGGGGCGAAAAAAGGCACAAAGAUCAAAAGUACAGUUUCAGAAAUUGUUGAUAAAAGUGCUAAGUUAUCCCCAGUAUUAGAAAUGGAUGACAAUGCACGUGGUAAAGAAAACGGAAGACCGAUAAGAAGGCAAUUGAGGAGUAGGGAGGUGGUAGUUGAGAAUGCCAGUGAACUAGGAAAUGAAGAUUCUAUCAUUCCAAAGAAGAAUCCAGUGCAGACAAGAUCAAAGAGGAGGAAUCCGAAAGAUAGUAAUGAGGUUCUUACCACAGAUGAAAUUUCCGAAGACAUUAUUAGUGAAGGAGAAGGUGAAAAAAUUGAAACUGGAAAGGUCUUUAGGCAAUCUAAACGGAAGGCGAUAGAAGAUGGCGAGUGUGAACUGUUUGGUGGGGAAUUGGGGAAAAGGAAAACGGUUGGAAGGAUCACAAGGUUCCGGGCCCAGUUGGUGGGGCGAGAAGCAUCUGCUGUUGAAGGUGAAAAUGAGACUGGAGAUGAAUCUGAAGUCCAGGUUUCAAAAGACUCUGAAGCUGUUCUUCAACUCAAAGAGCCUGCUAAGUUAGGUAGAAACACUUUGAGGCAGAAAUCUGCAAUUUCUCAAUCAGAUCCAUCUGUGAGAACAGAGACCAGAAAACAAUGGAAGGGCACAAGUUUGGAAGGAGGAGCCUCUGAGACUGAAGUGAGUAUGAAAGAGAAGGAAAAGGUUUCUCUACCUAAUGGCCCUCUAAGGAGGUCCAGACGCAACACUUUAGCAUUUAAGUCUACUGUUUCUCCUGAUGGAGGGUUGGUAACUCAUGAAGCUGUUGGAAGGAAUCAGCAAUUGAAGCACUUGGGAGAACCAAUUACAGAAAAAGAAGCCUCUAAACCUGAGGCAACUGCUGAAAUUUUGAAAGAAAAUGAGAAGGUUUCUCUACACAAUGGCCGUCUGAGGAGAUCCAGACGCAACACUUCAACAUUUAAGUCUAGUGCCCCUGCUGCUGAUGGAAAUUUGGUGACUGGCGAAACUGUUGGAAGGAAUGAGCAGUCAAAGUGCUUGAGAGAAUCAACUCCAGAAAAAGAAGCUUCUGUAACUGAAGCACCUUUGAGAAGGUCCAAGCGGAAUGCUUCUAGGCAUGAUUCAAUAUCUGCAUCCACAGGAAUGGAUGGCAUUCCUAAUGCCAUUGGAAAGAAUAAGCCACAGAAGAGAAGUCUGCAGCCAAUUCUCGAAGAAGAAACUUCUGUGAUUGAGAAGGAGCCUCUAAUUGAAGAACUUCCAAGACAAUCUAAAUAUAAUGCUUCCAAAUGUAACAUAGUUGGACCUGCUAGAGUAGCUGGUGAAGUUAAGGGAAAGAAGAAGCAGCGGAGGAGAUCAAAAUUUCCAAGCUCAAAAGGGGAAGCUCCAUUAACUGAAAGCAUGUUGGAUAUUGAAGAAACACCAGGCAUAGAUGUUGAAUUGUCAGAGCCAGAAGCUGCAGGAAGCAAAAGUUCAGUUUUGAUCCACCAAGAAGGAACUCCUAAAGAUAAAGAUACUAGUAAGAAGAGGAAGAGCUCCAGGAAGAUAUCUAGUGCAAAGAAGCAGCAACAUGGGUCAGUGGAGGUUUGCCCUGUAAUUUCUGACUUAGAGGAAGUUGAGGAUCGCACAACAGUGAAUUUCAAGGAUAUUCCAUCCCAAUCUGCAGCUGCCAUAGAGGAGGAUAUUGUUGAGGAUCUCACAACAGUGAACUUGGAGGACAUUCCAUCUCAAUCUGCAGUUUCUGUAGAAGAGGAUAUUUCAAUGGAAAAUGAUAAGGAAAAUUUGGUUCAAGAUAAAGUUAAUGAAGGUAACAAGGUUGAUAAAGAAUCUCAGUUCCACAACAUGAGAAGUGAUCUUGAUUAUGAUAAUUCAGUUGAACCACAAGGAAAUCAAUAUUCAAGUAGAGUUAGCAAGGAACUGGUCUCUCCAGUCUUUGACUUCUCAUCUGUCCAGCAACCAGAUUACACUGGUAAGUGUCUGUUGGCUUUUGGGACCAUAAUCGGUUUAGUAUUUUUUUCAUAUAAUUGAUUACUCAGUGAUCAACAAUUUUCAGGAUCAUCUGCUAAUCAUGUGAAGUUGCAGAGAGAACUGGAAACUGAAGAAGAGCUAUCUGCAGGCAAGCAUAUAGAUCCAGCAAGUGAUAUUUUUGUUGAUCUUGCAGCUGAAGAUGACAAAACUUCAGUUGAAAAGGAGCAGAAGUUAGGACUAGGAGAGAUGAAUGGUUGUGCUGAACCAGUCAUGCAUGAGUUAGAGGAGAAUGUAACUGAAUCUAAUGAAAGUGGCAGCUCAAAAAGGAACUUCGAAACUUUCAGUGAGGAAUCUGGAGAUAUUGCUUUGCUUAACCCCUCCAAUGGAGAACGGGCCACUCCAAAUAUAUCAGGGAGGAGAGAUAUUGAUGAUGCUGAAGAUCCUGAGGCUGCUGUUGAAUUUCCAGAAAAUGCUGUAGCUUCCCCUGUGGCAGAAAUUGUUGCAGAACAGGUUACAGAAAUCCAGCUUGCCUCAAGUGGUCAAUGGUCUACAGAGGAGACUCCUGUAAAGAUUGUUAUCACACCAGAAUGUCAAAGUAAGUGUGUACUGUAUCCUUUCUUUGUCAAUCAUUAGCCAUCAAAUGGUCUGAUGAUGUUAAAGUUAUACAUAAUUCAAGAAAUUCAUUUGGCCAUUUUCUUCUUUAUUGCAUCUGCUGUUAUAGAUGACAAAGUGGUUGGUUCUUGUUUGCACACUGUCUCAGCAGAUGAUGGUUCUCAAGAAGGUUAGUUCCAUUUAUACAGGGCACUGCAAUCUCCAGUGAGUUUUCUUGCUAAUUUUCUUUUAUUAAACAUGCAGAAGGGUAUCAACUCAAUGCUCAACUUGCUGCACAGUCCCCUGUGCUUGGAAGAAGCAAUCCAAAUCAUGGUGAAGGAGAAAAAUCUUAUAGUUAUGGGAAUGUUAUCAUGGAUGGAACAAUGUGCGGAGGUGAAUUGUCUGUUAGUGAUGCCAGGGAGCGAAGAGAGCAUCCUGUUUUAGACGAGUUAGAUGGUCAAAUUUCCGAGAAGAAGGAAAGUGUAAUGUCAAAGGGAAUCACAAGCGUUUCUAAGGAAAUAAAAGAGACAGGUAAACAUAUACUUUCCCAUAGAGAAGGAAUCUGUCCAAUUACCUCAGCAAAGAGUGAUUGAACUAUUCCUAUGUUAUUGCUCUUCAAUGACAGGCCAUGGGACACCCUCAUGCUCACUGUUAUUGCUUUAGUAACCGUAAAUUGUAAGAAAAGCCUAAUACCAUUCUUGUUCUUGGUUUCAGAUGUUUCCCACUUGGAUUUUCUAUUUGGAACAGCUUCUGGUAUUGUUGAAAGAAGUUUGCCAUCUUGUGAGCACACUCACUUGAAAGACAAAGGUGAAGAGGACCAAGGUUAGUUCCAUAGUUACUUGCUCAGCAUAGGUUACCCUUCAGCAAUUAUUUAAUUAACUCUUUUCUAUUUGAUGUGCCAAAGAUCAACUUAAAAUUCUGUUUGGCAUACUGGUUGACAAUACAGAUCCUAUGGAGCAAGAUGAAGAGUCUACGCAUGUAACUGAAAUGGCGAGCACAACAAUAUCUGCAGGCAAAACUUCCAGUAAUAAUUUGGGAUCUGGAAGGUUCCAUCAUGAGAAGUAUCAAGAAGAUGCAGGAGUAGGGGAAAGUGAUCAUGAGGGAAUAUCUAAUAUGGGCAAUCAAUCACCAGAUGUUAAUGAAGAUAUUUAUAAUGAGGCUUCCAAAGGGAACUUGGAAGUGGAAAUUACAGGACUGGAUGGCUGUGCCUAUCCCUUUCCAAACAAGUUCUCUAAAGAUGAUCAUGCUACAGUCGACAAAGAAAGUGGAGGCUCACAUGUUUACUCCAGAAAUGCUUCAGGAGAGGGCAGAGGUACAAAUGUGGUUGAACUUUCAGUUGGUGAAGGAAUGCCUCCAGGUGUCUCUAUUAUGGAUAAAACUGGAAAUGCUUCUGGGGAGGUUGAAGGGACAAAUGUGGAUGAACCAUCUUUUGAAGGAAUCACUCCAGCUAUCUUAGAAGAGAGAGUUAUUGCUGAAACCAGAGAUUUUGAAGAGGCUGAUAAGCUACUUGAAUUUAAUGCAGAAUCCCAUGUAACACCUGGAAGCACUGCUGGAGAUAUGGAGAAAGAAAUCUAUUUUGCCGAAAUUACUCAAUGUUCUGGUGGAAGUGGAUUUGAUCUUCCUCUCUCACAUGUCUAUGCCCUCGAGCACCAAGGUUUGGAACAAGCUAAUGCCUUCCAUUUUUUGGUUUUUAUUUUAUUUUUCAUUUUACUCUCUGGAAAUCCUUUCUCAUCAUGUUUUUUUUUAAGUACUUUCUCAUGUAACAUUCACAUUUUUAUUCUCAGCCUCUGGUAACGUCCACAAAGAAAUGUCUUUGAGCACACAGAGUCCUCACGUCCAAAAACAAGGUUUGUUCCAUUCUCCAGUGUCUUUUCAGGAUUGAAUGACCAGGCCAAGGUUUAAAAUAUUCUAUGUUUCAAUGUGCAGAAGGGAAUCAACUUGAAACAUUCUGUGUCAAUGAGGUUUUGAGCCAACAAACUAGUGGGGUUAAAAGUUUCACUCUGGAGGCACUUGCAAUGAGUAGUCCACCGUUGUUUUUAGAGAAGCUGUAUGGUCAUGAAGAGGAGGAUUCAGAGAUGAACUGUAAUGCUAAUACUGUUGUAGAUGAGCCUUUUAGCAAACAUAGUGUAGUAACUCUUGAUGGGAUUGAUGGCAAAGGCAUUGAAGAACACAUUUGUGUGACUAGUAGCAAUCUUGUCACAAAGAAAGAAAGUGCAGAGGUUUUGCCUGAAAUUGAGGUUGGUAAUGUUCAUGAUGAUCACCAUGUGGUGGUUGAACAAAUGAAUUACAAUGUUGAUGCAAGUUCGGCAGAGAGAAAUUGUAAAGAUAACAAGAUGUCUGAUGAAGCCAUUGCAGGGUUUUCUAGUGUUGGGUAUGUCACUCUUGUUCCUGGGGAGAAAAUUUCUGAGUUUGAGCCAGGAACUGAGCUUGGUGACAGCCAGGAGGUGACUGCACAGGCAAAUAUCAUCUUUGAUGCAAGUUUGGAUGAGAUCAUUUGUAAAGAAAGUGAAGCACUGGAGAAGACAACAGCUGGAAUUAAGAAAAGCACUUUGGAAGGCAUUGAGGAAAUCACUAUGCUGGAGGAAGAAAAUGGAGAGAUUUCAGCACCAAUUACUCAAACAAAGCUUGAUAGGGAGGUCUUAGAUCAAGGAGUUGAAUUUAUAAAGAUUAAUGGCAGUGCUCAGGUUACUUUGGUUGAGACUGUACAUGAAAAUGAUGAAGUUCCAGAAGAGAUUUUAGAUGAAGUUACCAGUGAAAAAAUGAUUUUGCUCCCUAUGGAAGCAGAUUUUGACUGUAAUGAAUUGAAUAUUGUGGGGGUAAAGAAUGAAAUCUCACUGCAACGUGAUGAAUUGAAGUCUAUUGAUCUUGAUAUUCAUGAUGCAAAGGAUAAAAGCAUCUUCAUCAAUUCAGACCAAUGUAGCUCUGCAGAUAGAGAAACUAUAGAUGAAAGAGAACAUUCAAGAAUCUUGGAAUGCAAAUUCAAUUUUGAAGGUAAUUGUUCUGACACAAAGCACACAGAUGUUGGUGCUUCACCACUGAUCAGUCUAAAAGAUUUUGAUGAUCAGAUAGAGGACGAGGAAGUUGCACACAUGCAUGAUAGUGAUCAUUGUCUUUCAUUGGAUCUUUUGAGCAACAACAGUAGAAUUGCAGCAACGAAAACACAUAAAACCAUUGCAGAAUCGGUUAUGCUGGAGGCAGAAAAUGGAGAGGCUUUUACCCCGUUUGGUUCAGAGGGGCUUGGUCAGGAGGUUUCAGAUCAUGGAGUUGAAUUUCCAAAUUCUGCAGCUUCAGACGUGAGUCAAGCUGUACAUGAAGCUGAUGAAAAUCUGGAUACAAAAUCAGGUGGGGGUGUAGAGAUGAUUUGGAAAGGGGAUGAAGUGAAGUUUGGUGAGCUUGAUGAUUCUAGAGAAGAGGUUCUCCCAGAGACUGACAAGAGUUCUUUAAUUGUUCCACAUGAACUCACUUCCACAGAUGGUGAAGCUGUGAAUGGAACCAUGAAAGAGAAUAGUCACUUUGAGGAUGUCAAUUUUGAUUCCAUGAAGGAAGAAGAUGUUAGCAAUUCACCUAAAGUAAAUGCUGGGAAUUGUGAUGAUCUCUUGGAAGAGGAGUCUGCAGAUGUGAAACACAAUGGUCGUGAUGUUCAGAUAGAUCUUAACUGCAGAGACAUUGGAGGUGCAGCAGACCUAGUUGUUGAAGAUGGCAUGGUUUGUGAAAUUGGUUCUGAUGAUAGGAAUGGUGACAAUAUGUGGGUUCAGAAAGCACAGACUUCGCCAUGUAAAGUUGAUGAUGGUAAUAUAUCUUCUUCCGAGCCUGAAGGGGAUUCAAUUAGUGCCAGUGUCUCACUGCUGAAUGUUUCAUCAUGUCAAGGUGAGCAUCUUCACCCUUUCUUUUUGAUAUGCUUAUAUAUAUAGUCAAAAUGAUAAUCUUCAUCAACUAUCUCUGAAAGCCUCAAAAUCUUUAUCUGCAAAUUACCAGACAUUCAAUAUGUAGAAGCUCUGUAAGUUUAAUAAAUCAUUCUACCAGUUAGGCGGUGGGGAAUUAAUCUAUUUGAGACCAAAUGCAGCAGGUGAAUAUGAAUCUCAUGUAAAAUGUGCAGGAAGCAGUAGCAAAACAGAAAUCAAAGAAUUGAUUGAAGUUGUUCCAAAUGAUGAGAUUAAUGAUACCAAUGAGGCUGCAGUUUGCUCUCCUGCACCGGUUGAUUUUUAUGAGGAUAAAGGUAUUUAGAAACUUAGCUUGUAAACUACAUAACACAGUUACAAGAAUGUAUUUCUAUCUAACAUCUAUUGGCCCAUUCACAAACAAAUAUGAUAUAACACCUAGUUACUUUCAUAAUUUCUUAGGUGAUACUCUUAACUUUGUGGGUAAAUCCUCAGAAGUUAUUAAUAUUACAAAGGAGAGAGGCAUAGCAGAAGAGAGCAGUGCUGGGAAGGCUGAGGAAGUACGUGGUUCAUCACAUAAGUUUGAUGAUGAGAUGGUCUCUUCUGGUGAUUCUAAGGAGCCUCCAAAAUUUGAAAAGUUUGUCGAGGUUUCUUUAUUGGAAGCUGAAAAGGUGGACUGUUGCUCUGUUGUUUCACCAGUCAAUGAUUCUGUUGAUCAUGGUAAGUGCUUAAUCCACUAGUCUUAAAAAGUUUCAGCUGUUUCAAAUUCUUAGAUAAUCAUUUUCUCCUUGACAGAAUGUUAUUCCUAGUUUUUCAUUACUAAUGAUUUUACAGCAGAAGUUGCUUCAAGGAAGCACUUGACAAGAUUAGAAGAUACCACUGAUGAUUCCUCUCUGACCCAUCAGAUUGGUGUGAAUUCCAGUCUUGCCUCAUCGGAGACAGCAUCCUAUGAGUUCACUGACUGGGAAAUAGAUUUAUUUUCUCAUAAUCAUUUCAGUAUGGAAGCAGUUUGUGGAACGAGUUUAAGGAUUAUAGAUCAAUUCCCUGCAGUCACUGAUUCAGCUCUGUAUAAAGGUAUAGAUCAUAUUUAAUUGGUCUGUUCUCAGAAAAGGUUAUCUAUAUAUAUUUAUGGGGAAUAAUUCUUUAGACUUUCUCUAAUUAUUUCUCAGCCUUUGCAGCCGAAGAUGUCCGCACUGAGAAUCUGAAGUUGGAAACAGUUCAGAAGAAAAGUUUAGAUGUAGAAGUGGAAGAAAUCAACCAUUUAUCAUCUCAGCAAUUCAAUUCUUCUAUGAAAAUGAAAAAUAACUUGAAAAGCAGCAUGACCCAGAGAACUCCCAACAAGUUCUUUAAGGCAUUCGAUAUGAAAGAGAACACCCCAAGCAUCAAGAUGGAGCAGAUGGGUAAUUUCUCAGCAAUGAAAUCAGGGACAAGGAGGAAAGCCUUGGAGGACCUUCAAAAAACUAGAGAGCGGAACAGCACUGCUCGCUGACCUUUUUUCAAGGAUUGGAUGUUGUAAAUAUGGGGCCCCAAAAGAGUGGCCCCUCAGUUGACGACCCUGAGCAUACCUCAUGCAAACAUUUGUGGAUGAAAACCCCACUAGUGGGUUAUUGUUAAAUGAGUACUUUGUUGUGUCUCCUUUAUUGUAUUUGUAGCAAAUGAAACUCCAGAAUCAGUGUCACUUCUGCUUGAUUUGCAGUUUGACAGACAUUAUCAGAGAAAAUCUACCUUCUUUAUCCAUGAGAAGCACUACAUUGGAAGAGCUGGUUUAUUGCUUGAUAGAGCAUUGAGAUAAGAGUUUAAGUUUACAUGUGCUAUUAAUUUCAUCAGAUUGAUCAUAAUAGUCUGAGCAUAAGACUGGGAAGAAUGAGAUCUUCAGUAUGUAAUUGUAAGCUGAAGAGUCCCUCGAGAAAAAUUCAAGGACAUUUAUCACAUUAGGCUCUCAUUCUGCAGGAGAAUAUCCUUGAAAUUUUCUUCUCUAACCAUGGAAAUGAUGCAAAUGGCUAUAGAAGAUCAUUUCCCCCUGCUUUCUCACAACAGAAAAUUUUCCUUCAUCAUACUAUAUAAGAACAAAUUUGAACAAAGUGAAGUAUUCCAACGAGGCAAUACACAACGGACCAACAAUUUUUUAGCACUAAUUCAUCAAAACCCAAGUACCAAAAGAGGAGAAAAAUCAUUUGAAGGAGCCCAUAUAUAUGAAGAAGUCCCUUAUUGAGAAGGGGAUAUAUUUAUGAUUAAAUCUAACGUAUAUUCCUUUUGGGAUUACAGAAUGAUCCAACCCCAUCCAACCACAAAACCAACGUGUAUAAAAAAAGAAAAAAAGAAUGAAUGGAAAUUCUGCAAAACAAAUAACCAAGUCAUAUCUCAGUCCUUUUUAUCUACACAACCCCCCGGCCCCCCCCACCUCCAUUUCCUUCACAUCUCAACUCAUCUGAUGAUUCUCAUUCACAACCAUGCGAGUGUUGAGAGAUAGCUUCGUCUUCGAUCAAAAACACAUCCCUCUUCUGCAAUUCCCAGACAGCCUUUCUAUAUAUAGUUCAAACCAUCUAAAAUUUAAAUUUCAUGUAAUCCUAGUCACAAUCCAAUCCACAGACUUCUAAUACAAUACCACCUUUUGAUACAAAUGGGUUGACUCUGACCCAUAGAAGUGAGAAGAUUGAGGCUAGAAGAAUUGACCACACAACAAUAAUGGUGGGAAGCCUAUCUUGUUUCCCCAUUAACCCCUUGAGGAAGGGGUACAGGUGAACAAUGACCCAUAAGGCAAAGAACAGCUUACCAAAUAGAGGGCCCCAUUCUUCAUAACCGUUAUUGAUGGCAUCUGAAAUCCCAACCAUGACCCCAAUUAUAUUCAGGAUCAGUAACGUCAGGGGAGGGAUCAACAAAGAUGUCCACUUAAAAAGGUAGAGCUCCGAAAACUCUCCAUCAUCUCCUCCUUUGGAUGUAACAGUGAAGUUUGUGUUAACACCUGCCAAAACCUUAAGCAGACCUUGGAAGAGAGCAAACAGAUGUGAUGAAGCACCACCAAUCACCCAGAACUGCUCAUUUCUCCACCAGUCAUCUAUGGCAACCCGUCCCCACUGCAUCUCAAGGACACCAGUUGCAGCUAUAGAUAUGAAGAGGGCCAUGAAAAUAAUACUGGCAUAGUUGCUAAUCUGCACAUCAUGCAAAAAAUUAGGAUUAGCUGAAACCAUCACAACCCACAACUAAUGAAAACUAUGCUAAGCACAGGAUCCUUGUUUUGGCCUAUGGAGAUGAAUGAAUAUUCAGGUUUAUGAAAAGCUAUAGAAUCCAGCUACCAUCUUAAAUGAAAACACCAUGAUGUUGACUUCAACAAAUAUCUAGUAGAUAGGAAACAAAGUUUGAUUUCAUGGAUAUCAACUGAAGACUAGUAUGAUCAAGUGAAACUUCUGAAAUUUCAAGGAGGAAAGGAAAUUUCAAGGCUAAUGAAAACUAGAAAAGCAACCUGGAGAUUGAACUUGACACGAGAUGUCAAAAGUUCCAUUCUCCAAUGGAAAACCUUGCCUGAAUAUUAGUAGAAAUGUUUUGAUGCUUGUGGUUACAAGUAUUCUAUCAUGAACCUACAACUAUAUAAUCUUGUGGUUCUUCCAAGGAAAAGAAAAGAAGAUCUCAAAAUGGACAUUACAGAGAUUGAUAUUUAAGAAUGAAAUAGAGCUAGAGGUUACCUCGGGGACAAUGAACUUCCCAGUGAGGAGACAGAAAGCCGGCAAGGUACAGUAGGCAAUCAAGGGAAUGGACGUCCACGGAUAAACAACUGAGUUGAUAUAAGAGAAGCGCUCCAACCAUUUCAAACCACCUCCAUAGCCAUACCAUAUAGGGCAAUACCUACUGAAGAAAAUCUCAACAGAUCCAAGUGCCCAACGUAGAACCUGGUGUAAACGAUCUGACAGGUUAAUGGGAGCUGACCCCUUAAAUGCCGGCCUCUUGGGUAUGCAGUACACUGAUCGCCAACCAUGGCAUUGCAUCUUGAAUCCUGUUAAUAUAUCCUCUGUAACAGAGCCAUAUAUCCACCCAACCUGAUUCAUAAUUCAAAAUCUGGAAUUUAGAUACAGAUGAAAAAAAGUUUACACCUUGUUUGGAAGGGACUGGAAAAGCUAGAAGCUUUUAAAUUUUAGACAGAUGCUUCUUACCUCUUUCCCCCAUUCUGUUUUAUCUUCAUAACCACAGCUAAUGACAUGGAUGGCUUCUUUCAAAAGUGAAGCAGUGGUUGCUCCUUUUGGAACACCACCUUCUUCUAAAAGCGUGGAAGCUAUAAAAACCGGAGACUGUCCAAAUUUUUUCUCAAAUUUCACUUGGGGCAUGAGCAAUGAUCUGUCAUUAUCUAUUCCUGCAAUAUAAAUUCCACAGUAAUAUUACUACUUUGGCUUUAAAAGCAGUAGACCUGAAGCAAGAAAACCAGUGUCCCCCCAAUAAUUACUACCUUGAAUACACAUAUUGAGUUAACUAAAAAAACAAUAAUAGAAAAUUCAAAAAAUCAACUUCACAUGGGAAAAGUUAUACACAACAUUGUUGCCAAUUAAUUAAGAUAAAUUAGGAAUUUUGAAGGUCAUUUAAGAAUUACUUGAAAUAUCUAGAAUACAACAAAAAAAAUGCAGAUAAUAAGACAAUAUGAUUGCGGUUAAUGAUUAAAAAUUGGGAAUUUUUCAUAUUAUUAAGAAUUACUUGAAAUAUCUAGACUACUUGCAAAAGUAAAUAACAAUUGCAUAUAUUAGAAUAAGACCCAUAUUUCCUUCAAAGCCACCCUUACCUUCAAUUCCCUCUUCAAUAUUUUCGAGUGCAUGUAUUUGCUUUGAAGCUUCCCUGUUUUUCAUCUUCUUCUUUUUGUCAGUUGACUUCACUUUCUUGUUUUUCUUCCUUGAUCCACAACACAAGCAGCACCAUUUUGGCCAACAAUUACACGUCUUUCCUGGGGGUUUCUUAUUGACAGGGGCAUCAUAUCCAUAGAGUGCCUGCCGUCUGAAGACACAGCCAGUUCCAACAUAAAUUGGUCCCUGGAUCCCAUCCAAACCUUUCAUAUUGAUCUGUUUUUAAUUGAAAACAAAAAAUUAGCUUUCCUCAAUCAAAAUUUUACAAAUUCACAUCUGUGCAUCAUUGUAUCAAAUUCACACUGGAGUGCCUUACGUACAUCAAAGAAUACAACGUUGCGAUUUGAGUAUCUAUCAUUGCGAUCAAUCCCAUCAAACCUUUGAGGAAACUGUACAUAACAGAUUUUCUUUCCUGAUGUGGGGUCCAUCAUGAAGCACAUGGCUUCACGAAGGGCCUUACUGUUGUUUAUAUAGUGAUCACAGUCCACGUUCAGUAGGUAAGGAGCAUUAGAGAUGAUUGCUGAGACUCGCAUCUUGAAUAAACAGUCAAAACAAUAGCCCCCAAUCAGGAAAUGGGAAAACAAAAAAUGGGAUCCCAAAGAAAAAGAAUGAGAGAGAGAGAGAGAGCUCUACCAAAGCAUUCAUUGCCCCAGCUUUUUUGUGGUGAUCAAAUCCCGGUCUCUUCUCACGAGACACAUAAACUAGACGAGGCAACUCAUUUCCUUCAACAUCACGAACACCAUUAUGACCAAGAAAAACCUGUGCAAGGCAAAAAUAGAGAAAAAAAUCUUUUAAUGUCUCAAAUCUCAGUAUGUAGAAGGUCCAGCAAGAUGCAUGCUGCUCAGGCACAAAAAUCCAUGAAUGCACUCGAAGAAAGAAAUCACCCCCUCACCUGGAUCAUUCCAGGAUGGUCCCUGACAUUGUUCCCAGGCCAUGGAGUCCCAUCCUGCAUUGUCCAACCUUCCUCGGGGACCUUCUGGGCCAUAGAAACCAAUGCAUUUAUCCGAAUUUUGAACUCUUCAUACUCCCUCUGCACCAAUCAGGAACCAAAUAUUAUUGUUUUGAAAUCAACUUAUUGCUCUCAGCAAUGGUUAUCAUGGCAAUACUUUGUCAAAGAUAAAAAAUCAUCACAACAGGACAUCUUUUAUCACUAAAUUCUAAAACUUGUCCUCCACAAGCCAUUUUAAUGAUGCAUAUUUAAUGCCACUCUAUAUGGUUUAAGAUGGCAUUUUGUUUAACCCGCAUGCAGCUUAUAUAGAAUGCACAUUCAUUGGACCAAAAUAUGAACAGAUAAAGAUACAAGGUGUUAACCUUCAUUGCACGACGUUCCCUAACAAACUCCGGAUGCACUUUGUCUUUCAGAUAGUCAACCUUCUGAGCAAAGUACCAUUCUGGGGCCCUCGGCUCAAUGCUGAACUUCUUACAGAAUGGGACCCACCUCCUAGCAAACUCAGAUGUCUCAGAAAGGGCUUCAAAAGUAAGCAUGGCAGCACCAUCAUCUGAGACAUAGCAUGCAACUUUCUCGACUGGAUAAUCUACUGCAAGGAUUGACAGAACUGUGUUUGCUGUGAUAAGUGGAGGUUCUUUCAUGGGAUCAACUGUACUUACGAAUAUGUCUAUAUCAGCUAAUUCAGAUGGCUUCCCUUCUUUUUCAUACCUGAGAACAAGGUUUAAGACGCAUAGCUAAGAAAACAGUACCAUGCAUACAACCAAACAAGAGAGAGAGAGGGAGAGAGAGCACCCCAAAUACCUCAGUGAUAGCCUAUCAAGGUAUGUUUCCCGCUCGAUUGGGUACCACUUUGGGAACUGAUCCAGUAUCCAUGAUACAGCAAACCAUAUUUCACAAAUAACUGAUGUUAACCAUAAUGCAUAUGCAUCAUUAACCGGGUGGAGGAUUCUAUAAUGAAAGAAGAAGCCAAGAAUCACAAGCCGGAGUAUAAUUAUGAUUCUGUAUGGAUUUAUCUUGCUUGAAGGAAUUGGUAUUUUUCUAGAUAGAGGUUGCCUGCCUUCAUCCAUCCUACAUAAAAAAACAAAAAUAAAUAAUAAGUCCUUCACAUUCAAAUAAGAGAAAUGGGGAAAACACAAAUAAUGGAAAGAGGAAUGUGAUGUUCAGUUCCUAAUUAAAUUGAGAUAAUGCUUUCUAUACCACCUCUACUCAGACUAACACAAGGAAAUUUUAUUUCAUAAGAUAUUGUUACUGUUCCCAAUAGGUGAAGACUUCUAACUGUCAGCAAUGAGCAUGUCAGACAUUCAUCAACUUGACAAACAGUUCUGAUACCUGUUUACACACUGACAAAUGCGUCCACAUUCAUUUUUUGAAGAAACAUGGAGACAAACAUGUUUGUAGUGCAUUUUUGUUGCAAACACAUGAAAGCAUUUGCAAAACUAUAGAUGUAGCUAUCUCCCAAUAGCUAUGCUUCAGGAGUUUCAUACAAAAAUGUGCAUGUAGCUGUUUCCAAUGUGCAUUUAGCUUUUCUGAUUCUAAUGAUAAUUGUUUUCUAAAUGGAUUGUUAAUUGACUCACACCUACAUCCCUUCCAAGUUCAAGUUAACCACUUUCAUGCCUCUAACAUGUAUGAACAACAAUUAAUAUAUUCAGCUCACUAGCAAGUAGCAACCCCAAGUUCAAUCACAUGUUAGUUAACAAAUGUUUAACAUCAUAAAUUUCAUCACCCAAUAAUUUUGUUAUACAUUGAUCCAUAAGCGACCUAUUUCUCAUUCAAAUUCUGCCAAAAUUUUAACUUAUGGGCCAUGCCCAUAAAGGUGGUGCUCCACUGCUCACGUCCCUUCAACUUUCAAUGAACAGCAUCUAAGCAGUUUUAUUUUUUUUUCCUUUUUAAGCUUUUACCAUGUAAUACUAAAGUGGGCUUUCACGUCCAUGACAUGUUAGAUCUUCAUAGUAGUAGCGUUGAAUUUCUCAUUAACACAUGUUUACUUUGUUCACAUGCAUUGCAUGUGCCAUGGUCCCCUAAUGAACGAAUACGACCAAUUUACGGUUUUGAUAAAUGACAAAAAAUAUCUAGCAAAUGACCUCAUUUCAAUCUUGUCAAGGUUAAAAAGUUGAUGCUUCAUAUUGCUCCAAUAACUUGCACUCUUGUAUUACAUUUAAUCUUAACACAAAGCCACCGACAAUGCUCUAUUUGAGGCAAUUUCUUUCACCCAAGAAAAGAACAAAAAUAGAAAUGAUAAACUCGCAGGUGAAUAACAAUGCUGUUAGCCUGAGAGCUUAAGUUACCAAAAAACAGUUUGAUGCAUGAAAAGAAUUCAAGAAAUAGUACUUUAAAAUCCCAAAUUAUACUAAGCUACGAAGAAAAAAGUUACAGGAGAAGAUGCAACAAAUAGAAUAUGGUGAAGCAGUGAUUGAAAAAAUGCACCUACUUGGGCAAAUCAGGAUCAUCCAGUUCAUCUUCAUCAAAGUUUCCACCAUCAUUUCCUCCUUGGUGCUUAACAACCUGAAGUUUAUCAUUCUGCUUUUUCUUCCACUCUUCCAUUCGGUCCUUCCACGCAACACUUCCAUACCCAUAUACUGCCAGGUCUUUCUUAGGAUCCAUUGGUCUGGGUGGCACUGCAACAACAAAACCAGAAGGCACAAUAAAUAUGAUGAAGUAAAUGUGAAUAGACAUAACAGUGAGAAAAGGGUUCAAUUCCACAUAAAAACUAAUGAGGAAUAACAAGACUUACAGGACAUAGAAGAAUCAGGAAAUGGCAUAGGAUGGACUCGUUUUCCACGCCCCAUGAAUGGAGGAAUGAUAAGGGCGUGCUUAUCAGAGGAAAUCCCGACAUCCUUCAUUGAAAACAAGCAAACAACUAUUAUCAUAAAACAGGAAUCAUUAAUUAUAUGAACAUAGAAAUGGAACGAUGAAUAAAAAAUGCGAGUGUUAAAUCAACUUACAUAUUGGCCAUAGGUCAGAAGAGGGAUUCCUGAAGGGACUGAUGAAGAAUCCAGAUCCAAAGGCGUACUAAUCCCUGAAGUAUGGGCAUGGCUGCCGAUGUUCAGGUGAGCAGAGAGCAUAGCCUCUGCAACCUGAUGAGGAUCCCUACUGUAAUUGCUUCUGAAAUCAAACUCAUUCUCCAAAUCAUCAAUGUCAUCUUCCUCUUCAUCCCCUUCAACUCUGGGACUACCUGAUGUUUUAAGUGUGCUAUUAGUGGAAUCAUCACCAAGUAGAGUGGAGUUUGGGAUGAAAAAACACAGAGUAAUAGAAAAGAGACAGAGUCAACCAAGAAAUUAUAGAAACCCUUUACCUUUGAUGCGUUUGUAUCUGGUUUUGCAUUGAGGGCAAGCUUGAUUACCCUCCCUUCUUUCAUACUCGUAGCAGGGUCUGCAUACAGGGAAUGCACAUUCAUUACAGGCAACGAAUGGCUCCCCAUCCACAGUAAUCUCUAUCUCAUCCCCACAAAUCUGACAAAUCUGCCCACUCAAUUCUUUCACGGAAGUCACCUGUAUGUCACAGCAAAGUCAAUCGGCAUUAGGUCAUGAAAACUGGAUUUUUUGCUCAACAACCCCAGAUAGAAUAUUGAAGCAGCAUAUGAUUUUUAAACUACUCAUUCACACAUACAAAAACACACACACACACAUAUGCAGAAAUAAAGUAUAAAAUUUUGGUGCAGACCUGUAUGAAACAUAGAAAAUAAGGGGAAAGGUAUGGAUUUGUGAAAGUACAGAGUUCCAGAACAAGCAUGAGCAAAAGAGCUAAAAGAGUCAUGAAAAUGAAAAGGGAAGUAAAAGCCAUCCCAUUCAAGAAUCACACCUUUAAAAACAGGAACUUGGAUCAGAGGGAAAAAAAUUAAUGGAAGAUAGUGUCACUAACCCAAGAAGGAAAUGGCAGAACCCACAAAAGCUAAAUACAGAAAAUAAUGGAAAAAAAAUGUUAUGAGAACAAAAUAAAAUCACUGUAACAGAAAAUGAGCAAAUGGAUGUCUUCAAAAUCAAGAAAUGGGGCUGACAAAAAGUUUCAUAGACAAGAAGAACGUCGGAAGAAAAAAUAGAGAAAGCACAUUUUUAGAUAUUUUUCUUAAAAUCCAGAAAUGGAGUCGAUCAACGAGUUGAAAUAAAAAAAUAGAAUUAAAAAAAGGAGAGAUUUUGAAGGAACUUACUCGUCCAAUCUCAUCAGCAUUGAUCAGAACAAACUCGUUCCGGUUGUGUGAACCCGCCACGAGUCUUCCUUUGGUAUCCAUGAAAGCCCUCAAGAAUCAGACCCAGAUAGAACCCCAAAUGCUCGAAAUCAAGAAGACCCACCUCACGAUAUCAAUCUCCCAACCCCUCUCAUGCGCAAGAAGCAGACUUUUUUUUUUUUCUCUCCGCCUCUCCCUUUCAGCUCACUUUCUCACAAAAUAACCCAACCCCACAUCACACAAUGAACAAAUUCACACCCUAGAUAGAGAGAGGGAGAUGCAAACAAUAAAAAAGAAGAGUGGGGAAAACAACAAAAUGAGAAAAAAGUAUCACUGUUUUUGUUUGAUUGUUCCUCAAAGAAAACCCAAUGUUUUUAAACGUAACAGAUGGGUGGGUCUCUCAGAACUCAGAAGUGGGUAGAGCCGAUCCGUGACACGGGGUUGCAGAUGAUGUUAGAGAGAGAGAGAGAGAAAGAAAGGAAUCUAUUGGGGCGUUGAAAUUUCAACGCGUAUUGCACAAGAGCGCCCUCCUAAUUCAUGGCUUUAUCAUCAACAUUGGGGUGGGGCUCAGAUUUUGAUGGCAGUGGUGCCUCUGCUGGUGGUGGGUGGUGGUGGCCCACCUGAGCUACGGUGGCACACGGUGGGCGACGACUAGGGCACUCUCGUAAUUCUAUCCCUUUUGCCUCCCCCUUUUUUCUUUUUUUCUUUUUCCUAAUUUAUUUACUCAUUUCCAUUAAAACAAAAUAAAUAAUAAAUAAAAUAAAAAAUAAAAAAUUAGGUGUUUCCUUUUCUUAGAUGUUGAUGUGAUGUAUCUCCCUCACGGCUUUUGUGUGUCCUGUUGUGCAAUAAAAUUAAAAAUAAAACCCCCAAAAAAAAAAAAAAAAAGUAGAGCUAGAGAGAGAAUGAGAGUGGAGUUUUUACUUUUUAGAGAGAGAAGGUGGAGGGUUUAGAGAGAGAGAGAGAGGGACAGGAUUUUACAAUGGGAGGAAAAAAAGGGGCAAGUGACAAACAGCGGGGAGGAGUUUAUGAGUUGUAAAGGCUCCACGUGCGGCACGUGUGGAGGAACCCGAGAUCUGGGCGAUUUAUCGCGAUAAAUUGAAGAGGAAAUAGACAAAGUGACGGUGAUUGAUUCUUUCUUUGCAUUUUUGGAACGCCUUCACUUUUACGUGCAUUAAAAGACAAGGAAAGUCUUGGGUGUGAGUGCUCACUGCUCACGCCCCUUCCCCUUGGACCACCACACCCCCACCCCAUCAUCCUACAAAUUUUAAUCAUCCCAUAAUGUAGCAGUGACGCACCAUCGUUGUUAAUUAUUUUACCUAUCUUACGUAACGUCAAAAGGAUAUUUGAUAAAAAUAAAAAAAAAAUUAAAAAAAAAAAGUCCAAGGGACAUGAAAGAUCAUGGUAAAGGUUUUUCCAUACAAGAAGGCCAAGUAACCGUUGGCAAUACCUUUUGAUUUUCAGCAACGGUGGGCUCUUCAGAGUAAAGCUUUUAUACUGACUUUAUACCUAACACAGCACAUUCCAGCCCUUUACUUGACCUUUUCAAACAGCUUACAUACAAAAUAUGCAAUUUUCUACACUGGGUUGUUCUACAAAGUCCGAAAAGGAUUGAGCAGCUGAUUUGCAUUCGGGUUGUUCUUUAGACCGAGACAGAUAGUAUUUUCCAAGGCAAAAAGGCUUUACUGUGAAGAGACGGUGACAAGUAUUUAAAUAGUAGGCAAGUGGGGUGGUUUUUGGAUGGCCUUUUUUCCAUUAAUAUUUUGUAUUGAAUGGAGGGUCUGUGUGUCUAUUCAUAAGUCGGUGAAUAAACCGUACCAUGGUGUGGUGAGUGGUCUCAUGCCUCAGUGACAUCAAUGCACUCUCUCAUGCCCCCUGCAGAGGUUAAUAACUGUACUGAAUCCGUCCAUAUCCACCAUCUGAUCUAUAUACUAUGGGUUUCCACUGAUUGGAUGGGAAUGGGGGGUGGGGGGUGGUCUAUUGUUGUUUUCAGUGGUCCUGACUCCACCUGAUGGUGUGGAGUGGGUACAUUGAUGGUAACAAACUAGGGAAGGGCAUUAUCAGUUUGAUUGAAACCAAUCACAUUUGUAGUCUGUGGUCUACCUGCCUUUUGGGGUAUGGACUCUCAUUGAAUCUGAUGAAGUAGUUGGAGACUUUAUGUCUAUUAUCUUAAUGGCACUAAUUAAUUGGCAUCUGGGGUUGGUAAAAUUGUAACUUUUUGGGGCAUGGCUGUAUGAUAGAAACCAUAGAAUCAUUGUGUGAUGGGGUGGUAACAUUUAUUUUAAUGUUUUUUGACAUGCAUUAAAGUAAAUUAGCAAAAAACAAUUCAUGGGUUUUUGAAUUCUCACCCGAUGAGAUAUUGGGCAUAUUCCCAUUUUUGUCCCAAUUAGAAUCCUCACAUUGGAUUACAGUUGUUUACAAAAAUCAGACUUAUUUUUGUUCUCAGAGGUAGAUUUUUCAACCACAUAUUUCUUCAAAUUGGGAAAAUCUAAAACAGAAUUAUAGCUCAUUUUUUUCCAAAAAUAAAAAAAUAAAAUAUCAUUAUUAUACAAAAACCAGUUUAGGAAUAAUCUAAGUUUUCAAAAAAACAAAUUAUUUUUGUAAACCUUUCCAAAUUAAUAACUAUUUUUUAAAAUAAUUAUAAAAAAUAGUUUUUGGAAACAAUUUUUUAAAACUGUUAUUAAAAUAUGUUUGAAAACUUAAAAUGUUUUUAACUUAUUUUUAAUCAUUUUAAAUAUUUAUAUAUUUAUUUUUUAAAAUACCUCUAAAAAAAAGGUAAAAAUAACUAAAGUGUAUUAUUUAAAAAUAUUGUAUUUUUUAUUUUUAAGAAUAAAAAAUAAAACAUAAUUUUUAAUUAUUAAACAAAUUUUUCAUAUUGUUAUUUUAAAGAAUAGAAAACUGUUUUAAAUAUCGAGGUUGUUGUGAUUGCAUGACUGCUUGGUUAAAUUGUGGCUGCUAAAUUUGCAAAUGAUCAUGAUUAAUAUCUUAAUCGUGUGUAGGAAGCUGUCGCCUGUACAAGAGGUGAGAGUGAGACAGUGAUGAAAAUACGAGUUUUAGUUUUGAUGAAUGACAAAUCCCUCCCAUUUUCAUCACUGCCCUUCACCUUUUUCUAUGCAAACACUUGGUCCAAUAGAAAAGGUGAAAUCAAUAAUAAAAGGGUUGAAAAAGCAAAAGCAGAAGGAGAUCAAUAAUUGCCAGCAAGGUGGAUUGGGCAUCAGAUCUCUUAUAUGCAACUCAACCUCUACUUCUCCAAUUGCCCCCCUCCUUUUCAAGGGCAUGGUCCUAUCACCUAUGUGGGUCACUCUCCCUUUACUUCCAUCAUGCCCAAAAUCCUUUCCCUCUAGGCUCUAUGAUGCCCAAUAACUUAAGUAGAAGUUCACCUUUAUUAUUUUUGGGCAUUAUUGGUACUAACUAUAUGUUGUAGUUACAAGCCAUUCUAUUUAUGGUAACAUUCUUUUUUAUCACCCUUCCAUCUUAAUCCAACUCAAAUUAACCUAUCAAUUAUUUUGUGGUUUCAUUUUAUCUUAUUUUUGAGAAAUCUAAAACUUAUUCUUACGUUUUAUGCAGAUUUUUAUAUCCGUUUAACUAAUCUUAUUUAAAUUAAUUUACGAUUUAAGUCAAAAUCCGAAACUAUCCCAAAUGAGACGUGAGUAUUAUUUUAUUAUUCUAUAUUACGGGAUAAUUAAUUUUGCGGGUUUUAAUAAAAUUUUAAAUUGUUUACAAAUGAAAUUUAGUUGAACGAAAGGCAUGUGAAGAGCAUCCUUGGAUGUUAAUAGUAUACAAAGAAGGAGUUGAUUGACUGCUAAUACCAAUGAUCUUAACUUGCCUUUUGCAUUGGGCGGUCGGCUGCCAUCAUUAACUAAUGAUCUAUGAUUGAGUAUAUUCCAAUACUGUACACGUGUCCUCCAUCCGCUGCACUUCUACAAAAGUGGACGGUUCUCAAGUACCCAGGAGCAAUUUUUUAAUUAGCACUCGCUUUACCAAAUCUGCCGCAUCUUUUCCCAAACACCAGGGUUUGGCUUCGUAAACAAGACUCAGCAACCAAAUUAAAAAUAAGUGAGUGAAACCCUGAAGUACGACGACACGUGGGAUCACAGCUGGAGUAGCAAUCAUGCCUUCCACUGGGUAGUGUGAUAUGCCACGUUGGCAAAAAGUGGGUGUCCCAGAAAACGUGUAAUGAUGGUGGAUUAUAUUGGAAAAGCAACUUUUCCACGUGGCAUGGCACGCCACGUCGAUAGCGUAGAGGGCUUUAUUACAACUGGAAGACAUCUGGCACGCGUUUUUGUUGUAAAUUGUCUGGCAGAAGUGGGCCACGUGGUGCCAGAGUAGGUCCACAGACAGCUCAGCGACUGGGAUUGUCGGUCGCUUUCGCUAGCUGUAAAUCAUCAUAAGCGGAGAAGCGUCCGUAUGCGGAUGACGUCAUUAUUAGAAACGAUUUUAUAGAAAUGAAAGUAAUUUUUGUUGGGUGGUGGGUGAGAUUUUUGAAUGAAAGUUCGAGAAAGUAGGGAGGGAGAGAGAAAGGAAAAAAAAAGUUUAAAAAAAGGCGGGACAGCGUGGCGGGCAUUUUGUGGAGGAGGUGGUGUUUGGGGAGUAAUAGAAUAUGGGGCUGUUUGGCUAAUAGGAUAGGAGUUCGGCUACGUGUAUGGAUCUGAUUGGCUAAUCCUGACAGAGAAAAUUUUGCCUAGUGAGAGAUGAUCUCGGGAAAGCAAAUAUAUUUGUUCGAGAAAUAUUAAAUUUUUAAUUCAUUUGCAAUAAAUUCAAUAGCAUAUGAUAUGAAAUAUUUACAUUCCAUAAACAAAUUUUCCCUUAUUUUGAUUUAGAUUUUUUUUUUAAGGUAUGGUAUCGGUAUAUUAAUACUAGAUUUUCUCAUAUAGAAAUAGAAUAAUAUGAAUAACUAUGAUAUCCCUCAUAGUUUCAACGGGAAAGUUCUCAAAAUUGUUUUUUAAAACUGUGAUAAUUUUGGAUUAAAAGUAAAUAAUAUCUAUACGAUUGGAUGUGAGUUACGAUAUUAUAUUUUUAUUUUUUGAUACGUGGAUUAUACACACGUUUUAAAAUAGCAAAGCCAUAUAGUCGGUGUAUUAUUUAAUAUUUGGAUAUUUUAUAAUUGUUAAUAAUUUUAUAGUUUUCACAUACGUGUUCCCAAUUUUAAAUAUUAAAACUCGUUUUAGGAAAAAAAAAUUUAAUUUCUAUAUCACAAAUAAUAAAAAUUAAUUUAAUUUACCAUGUUUGAGUUUUUACAUAAGCCCGUCUAAUUCCAUUAAUUCAUUUGUUUGAAAUUUUAUUAAAUACAUUUUAUGUCAUUAUUUUCUUUAGUUAGUUUUAUCGCUCAAGAUACAUGAGUUAUUUUAUAAAAUUUUAACGGAUGAGGAUUAAAUGUAUUUAACAAAAUCUUGAAAAUAAAUGAAUGAAAUUAAUCAUAAAUAAUAAUGCCUCCCUUUUCCAUACAUUUUUUUAGAAAAUCACUUAAUUAAAAAAAUACAUCUAUAUUAAUUAUCAAAUAAUCUUUAAUGUAAAAGUGAAUUUAGGUGAGAUUACUCAAUAUAAAUGUUUAUAGUAUGAUAUACAUAUUUGAACUCAAAUCCUAUAAAUUUUAAGUUUUUCGAAAAAUUGAUAAUUCAAUAUGAUAUCAGAGUUUUGUAUGAUAUGAGAUUGUAAACUCAAGCCCCUUCUCCACAAUUUGUAUGUUCGCUUCCCAGUCUAUUCCUCCUCUCCCCCCUACCUAAUUUGCAAUUCCGUGGUAUAACUCAACUCAGAGAUAAUGGAGAAAAUCUAUCACUACUGUGGCUAUUCAUAUUCAUCAGUCCAAUAUAACUCCAAAAGAGGUCAUUUUCAAUGUCUAUAUAAUACCAUGUUGCAUGUAGAUAUGAAGAUGAAUUGGUAACUGCUAGAAUCCAAUGUGUUGCAAAUUGCACUUCAAUUAUUGUUUCUGGAUUUGCUAAUUGCAAAGCUGUCUUCAUUUAUUUGAUGCUUAUCAUUAUUUUUUAACCUAUUGGUAAAAUAUAGGUGGCAAAUUUGUUAGGACGGUGGAAUUUGUACAUUAUGAUUUGAUUAUUAAUGUAAAAUAAGAUUUUUGGGUUGUCUUCUACUAUGGUCAAAAAUCUUGAUUAGUUAUUUUGCAUAUCAAUUUUUUCAACUUAAGUCGUAAAUGAAAUUAUGAAUAUGAAAACCAUUUUUUUUUUUACAGCAAAAGAACUUUGACCUUCAUUUUAACGAAGAAAAAAAAAACUAAGAGAAAUGUUUUUCUAUUGUCUUAUGGAGAGAGAUAAAAAAAAUAAGAAAAAACAUGGUUUUUUUUUUUUUUUUGGUCUUUAGAGAGAUUUUUUCACAGAAAAAGAAAAAGAAAAACUUUUCUUUUAAUAGUAUCAUGCUCUUUGAAAGUUUUAAACUUCAAAACACAGCUCCCUCGUUUUUUCAUUUUCUUAUUUAUUGGGUUAAAUCAGGUCAACCCAUUUGGGUGCCUAAUCCUAACUCCAACCGUUAUCAUAAAUAAGUGUUUCAAUUAUUCAUUUAUCAUUAAUUUACUUUUCUAACGAAUGAUAAAACUUCUUUAAACUUUCAAUAACCUGACUAAAAUGGCAUCGGACAACUUACAUUUAAUCUAUAUCAUGGAACGGUUUCGUACAAAAAUUACUUGGCAUUAAUGCUUAAUCACAUUGGAGGGCUAACCUAUUUUGUUUGAUACAUUGGACACACUUCAAUUAUUUAUACAGGCAAAUAAAACAAAAUUGUUCAUAAUUUUAUUCCUACUUGCAAAAAUGAGACAACCAAGUAGCCCUUAAAAUACUAACAAGCAUAAUUUGUAGAUUCUUAAGAAUGUAGGAGGCAUACUGAAUAUUGAAUACAUCUUUCAUAUUUUCAAUCAAUUGACUACCUUGUCUUAUAUCCAUAUCUCACAUUCAUAGGGUGGAUUAGAUUUAGUCCACUGAAAAUGAUGAUCACAAAAGUUUAUUAAAACAAAUGUGAGAUUGUGAUGUGAUUGAUACAAUUAUUUUUAUUAAAAAAAAGGGUCAAUUGUAUGAUUCAAAACAUCCAUACAUAUAUUUAAUUAAUUAAUUAUUAUUAUUUAUAAUUCAUGACCUCGAUUUUCCACUAAAGGAGUGGGUGGAAUUCUUGACAACCACUAAAAUAUGUGGGCAAGUUGUACUUUUUAUAUUUAUUUAUUAUUGUUAUUCAUUUUGUCAAUCCUUGAAUUGAUUAAGUCUAUGUUAUGGGAAAGUGCCAAUUUCUCUCUCCACGUGCAUAGCAUAUGACUAAUUUAUUAAAUUAGUGAAGCUUGAGAUCAACCUGCAGCUGCAUAAGGUAGGGAGAUUACAACUUUUGGUUCGAGGAAAUCAAGGAAACCUUUGAAGGAUUGAUAGAAAAGGGUUUGGUAUUAAUCAUUUGUGUAGCUUCUAUGCUUGAUGCUACUACUCCUAUUCAACCAUUAAUAUAUGGUUUUAAUUUUUUGUACUUAAAAUAGUAUUAAUUUGAGAAUGAAAGCUACUUUAUUGGUAUAAUUUGUAAGGAUUUGCGAUUAAUUUAAACAUAGCCGCUCGUAACCCACCAUAGAACCCUUUUUUAUUUUUUUUUCAAAUUCUUUAUUUGUGAAACUAUUUCAUUGAAAACAAGUUUUAUAAAAUUCAAUAUGGUUUUUGGGAUUUCUCAUCUGAUCGCUCCCGUUAAGCCAAGUUUGAGUAGGUGAUUAUGUUAUUAGAAUUCUUAGGUUUAGGACCGACAAGAGAUCCUCGUGAGUCAAGCUAAAAGCGGUAAGAUGUUAUUUAAAUUGACUUUUGAGAAUUAAAAAUUAUUUUUUAAAUUUAAUAAGAAUUUUUAUGUUUAUUUUGUUAUUUUUAUUUAAAACACUUAGUAGAAACUUAAUUUUAGGUUAUAAAAAAAGCCCUUCUAUAUUUGAUAAAAUCUUUAUAAUACCAAUACCAAAAUUUCAAAAUUAUCUUUUACCUUGUGAUGAAAGCCCAAAAAAAAAAAAGGAGUAAUGCCAUGUGAGGCAUAAGAGGCCUUAGCCCACACCCCACCAUUUACAAAGACAACAAAACCUUGGACCUGGGCCUCGGAGCACAGGCCCAAUGGGAGAAGAAUGGGUGGUCCUCUAUGAAUUUGUACGUUACAAUACUUCAUAUAUGGACUUGAAUGAUGUUCUUAAUUGCUGGAUUUUUUUAAAGAUAAAUGGGAUGGGAUAGUCUCAACAUCAUCAACUUCAAAUCAAUAUUUGUUGAUUCAUUUUCCUUUUUCAGCCUCUUGAAUCCCCAUGCACGUAACGGAUGUUGCUCUCACGAUUUCUCACUAUAUAUACAAACCACAGCAUACAUGCUUCCGCACUCGAUCGACAUGGCUCUGAUGCUGAAGCUCUUUCUUUUCACUCUUCUCUCUGCAUGGAGCCUGGGAUCCAUGGCUUCCGCACGGUACCUGGACAAGAGCUUCAGCCUUGCUGCUCGAUUACAUGCGGACGACGACUCAUCAUCCAAGUGCUGGGAGUCUUUGCUUGAGCUUCAGGCAUGCACUGGAGAGGUUGUCCUGUUCUUCCUCAAUGGUGAGACUCACCUUGGGGCCGGCUGUUGCCAAGCCAUUCAGACCAUUGAGCACCAAUGCUGGCCUGCCAUGCUUACUUCCAUUGGUUUCACUGCCGAGGAGGGCGACAUCCUCCAAGGUUACUGUGAUGCAACCACAUCCUCUUCGGCUCCCCCACCACCACCACCACCACCAUCCAUGGAGCCUAAUGACGUGGUUACCUUGGGUGGCUUUUUCCUCGAUCCUUAGUAGAACGCGUUCUUACUAGCAGUUAUGUCUUUUACAUAUAUCUGAUCCGCUAGUCUAAAUAUAUACAGAAAAGGGUGUUUGGAAUUAAUGAAUGAUUUCCUAUAUAUUGCCCCAUAUUUGUUGCAAUUAAAUUCCAUUUCUUGCUUGAAAAAAAGGUAUAAUAAUUUCCCAUCAUUGAUAGCACUAGUAGUUGUCUUUUAUGGGCUGGACGAGACACACAGAUCGACCCACAAUUCUGCUUACCCAGCCCAUGCUCAGUGGUUUGGACUAACAUAAUUGGAGGCCCAAAAGGGAUAUCAAUAAUAAGAUAAUGUUUGGAAGAUGAGUCUAUUUUUGUAUCUAGAUAAGACCAACUCAUCCCCCUCUAAUUAAUGGAGAGGUAACGGCGUGAAGGGCAAGAUUCUCAAGGACUCAAAAGCCUUUUUGCUUUGAUUUUCCAUCAAGGCAUCAGUGCCAUACACAUAAGUCCAUAAGGUAAUGAAUAAGGAGCGUCAAAUCAGGGUGGGAUGCGAAUAUGCGGAUUGAAAGCCAAGUAUUGAUUUUAGUGGUAUGAGGUGGGUCGUGUAUGGAUGGUGACAUCUAACUAUAAGUCUCUCAAAAGACUUCAAACUUCCCCCCAUCUCCGCCUUCUUUCAUGCUCUUUCCACUCUUCUUUUAACGUAGUAAUUUUUUUUCCCUUUGGGUAAUUAGGAUCUAAGCAUGGAAGAAGAGAAUAUUCGGAUGAGUGUUUCAAGAGUUCUUGGCUUUCUACACAUUGUUACUUCAUUUUCAAGCUGAGGAAUCAAUUGGUCAUUUGUUAUGUGCUUGUUUGUGAUCAUUGGGAAGCAGAUUUAGGGUUUUGAAAGGUCAAAUGCUAAUCAACAGAAGAAGAAAUUUACACCCCAUGCCAACAUAAAGAGAUAAUUGUGGUUAGGAUAGAUUUCAUAUAAUUAACUUCAACUAACUUCUCAUGACCUGCCAUUCCUAGUCAUCAUUCAGUUAGUUAUUUCCUUGCUAUGCCCAUGAUCGAUGCAUCGACCGUUUGCCACUUGUUUUCAUCCAAAAACCUGUCAUUUUCUCUCCGAUCUCGAUCCACUAGAAUGGAUCAAACUGGAUUCUUUCUUCCUCUGGAAUAAUGUAAAGCUAGACUAAAAUUUUAUACAUUCCUCUAUUGGUUGAUGGUUUAUUAAUGGUGAGAUAUCUUGUACAAAUUGAAUCAUCAAGGUCAUUGGAGUGGUGUCCUUGUUGACUAAUUAAUGGGUCCAUGUUUCAUGAUCAUAAGGCCAUCUUGCAUGAUUCAAAUAUACCCUAUUGAAAUGGUAUACAUACACAUGCACAUUGUUCAAAAACGCCCUAGAAAAAGGAAAGGAGGAUAAAAAGAAAUACAAGUCGUCCACUAGUGCCAUAUGUGGAAAAGUAGUGAGCAUACAGAUCUCAACUCCCCUAGAGAAAAUUGUCCUCGUAUGGAACCUCAACAAUGAAUUCUAGAGAAAGCUGUCAAGUGAUCACAGUCCAGAUGAAUCUUGAUUUAGAAGUUAGAAAAAUGAAGGGUUGUUAGGUUAGGGUAGUUAGUCAAUGGCACAAAGAUGUUAUCUUAAAAGUUGUGGAGGAGAGGAGAGGAGAGGAGAGAGUCAGAAAAAAGAAUGAACCUAUCAGAAGAAAGUAAGAAACAUCAAACUAUAAUCUUAUUAACAUGGAACGAUAAUCAUGAUAAAGCCACACAACAAGGGUUUCACAAGGACACACAGAGAGACCCAGGAAACAAGACACAAACUCAUCCAACAUAGCUCAGACAUAGAAAUUAUUUAGCAUAGUUGCUCACUGGCAAUUGUAAAUCUAAUUACACAACAAGCACACAUGCAUGCGUCUAGAAAAGAUGGUGAUGCUUCUUUCCAUGAGCCUCUUCAUCUUCUUCCUUGGCUUCUUUCUUCUCGUGAUGCUCGUGGAACGCGAACCCGCCAGCUCCCACUGCAGCAGCCGCGGCAAUCUCUUCUUCUAUCUUGUGCUUGUGGGCAUGCUCAGGGUCUUUCUCCGACUUGUGCUUCUCAUGCUAUAAUUCAAGCAUCAUCAAGACGAUAAGAAAUAGUUCCUUUGUAUAAAAUUAAUUAAAACAAAAAUAUUUUCAAACUUCAUGACACACGGGGCAUUACCAAGGCGUAAGCGCCAGCAGCAGCGACGCCGAGCUCGCCGAGGUGCUCGAGAUGCUUGUGGUGCUUCUCCUCCUUCCUGUAGUCAGGGCCUGGGUCAUCUGCUAACACUUCGGUGGUUUCGGCAGCGUAGCCGCUGACACCAUCGGUAGCAUAGCUGGUGUCGGAGUAGGUGGUGUCGGAGUAGGGAACGGCGUCGUCAACAGGCUUGUCCUUGUGGUGGAAGAGGUGGUGGUGAUGCUUCUCCUCCGACAUGGUGGUGGUGAUCAAAUUAGCUGCAGAAACGAGAGAGGAAGAUGGUUUGUGAACUGUGAAGGUGUGAUGUGGGAGAGUGCAGUGGUGGGUGGUGGGGUAUUUAUAAAUGCUGGUUGCGAAGGUGUCCAAAGAUCGUGGGAGAGAUGAAUGGGUAUUGGGAAUGGCCCGAAUGGGUGGGGCCUCACCAUUCACCAUUCUUAUCUACAUUUUUCAAAUCUCGAUGGCUCCUACUCUGUCGAUACUUUGUUUUUGUGUCGGCAAUUUCAUUGGAUCUUUAACCACGACAUUUUUUAACCACAUUUUUAGAUUUCCGUGAUAUUAUCAUAAUUGUUUUUGUUAGUCAUUCGUUGGAUUUAUUUCAAAAGUAGGAAAAUGUUUGAAAAAUAUACAUCAUCAUUUGCGUCUUUGAUCCACUCUCAAUAGGAAAUAAAUAAAUAAGAAAAGAAAACCACAAAGUCUCAGGUAGCAAAGAGUCCAUAUCAAAGUAUCAAACCUUUUUAUCGAUGAAUAUUUUUAGGAAGAACAAUCUAUUAUUUGUAAAAUAAUUUUUAUAUAUUGAGUGAUAACCCUUCAAUUCGAUAUCGUUAGAUCAUUAAGGUCGGCUUUUGUCCCUAUUCGACGGGUGGAUCUUGUAGUCAAACUCCCUUUUACCUUUGCACUCAAGGUCCAUCUUUGUUUUGCUUGAGAAAACCUUUGUUAAUUUCCAUUACCUUUUGAGAGACUUACGCUCUAUAAAAAUUAUUUAUCUAUUCCUUGACGAGGAAAUUCAAAUUCUUUUACUUAAAUUUAUUUUAUAAAACAUUAAAAAAGGUUAAAUAUAAUAAAAUUAUUAAAAAUUUGAAUUUAAGAAAUCAUUUAUUUUUUAAAUUUUGACAUGAACAUAUAUGGGUAAAAAACAAAAAGAGACAAAAACAAAAUAUGUUUUUUUGUGCAGUAAUCAAUUAAAAAAUCACUUUCAAUUUAAUAAAAGAUGUAAUUUUUAAUAUUAAAGCUUAGAGAAAAAAGAAUUGACUUGAUUGGAAUGAAUUACAAAAAUCACACCCCAAUGAAGAGGAACCCCAUACAGCACCUCCUUUCCUUUUCAUAAAGCAAAGACCUUUCAUCAGUAGGCAUGUGAAGGAGGGAAAUGAACUUGGCAGAUUCCACCUUAAAGUGCUAAAACAUGGCACUUGCCCCUCUUUCUAAUCAAACUUAACCCCACCUACAUUAUCUACAUUAUUUAUUGUACAUUAUCUUUCUCCAACUAAUACUAGUAUUUCACAUCUCACAAUUUUUUUAUUCUAUUGGAUGUGAGUCUAUUAUUGCAGUUAGGUCAGCUAAUCAGGAUCCCAUGGAUAAGGUGCCACAUAUUAAUAUUUUAGCCUUUUAGGUGUUGCUAUUCAUCCUCCUUUAUGACUUGGGCUCCAUUUCUUUGCUUGAACCUCACUUUUAGGGUAAUUUCUUUUCUUGGACUAUUAGUUUAUUUGUUGCACAUAAAAAGGCCACUUUAAUGGCCGUCAAACUUUGAUAAAAUAUGUCUUAUUUUGUACUUUAAGGUGGUGUUUAUUUUUUAAUUGAAUAAAAAAAAAAUAAAAAUAUUUGAUUUUUUCUAUUUAAUUAAAAGUAAUUUGUUGAGAUCGUUCAAUGUAACUAAAAUGAACUUGUUAUCAAUAAAUUUACUUUAGUUAUGUUAGACAAUAUUAAUAGGUUACUUUUAAUUGAAUAGAAAUAAAAGUCAUUUUAAUUAUAUUGGACAAUAUUAACAAGUUAUUUUUAGUUGAAUAGAAAAAACUAAAUAUUUUAAUUUUUUUUAUUCAGUCAAAAAACAAACAUCACCUAUAAAAAUUGAUAACUUUUAUAUAUUUGUACUAUGGUAGAUGGGCUUGGCCCACUUGGGCGUAGGGUAGAUAUUUGAAUUUUGAACAGAAAAAAAAAAAAGGGAAAAAAGGAAAAAAGGAAAGGGGAAAGAGAAGGAGAAGAUAAAUCAAUAAAUCAUAAAAGCAGGAAGGAGAGGUGGAAAAUGGUCCUCUGGUCUGGACCAGGAGAAAGUGGCCGGUGAUGGGGCCCAUUGGGUCUGUGUCGGCAAGGCCCCAUUUAUUUCGGCAUCAAUAUACCUGCCUGAUUGGUUCCAUGCCUGCCAUAUGUUUACGCUUUUGUCAAUUAUUAUAAAAAACAACUUCUUUGUCAAUAAACUCUUUAAUUUUUACUUCUCUAUCGUCUUUAAUGGGUGUGAAAAAAGUCAUACAUGCCUAUUGUAUUCUUCUCCUUUUUAGUAGGUAAAAACCUACAGGCUAUCCCUAAACUGAAUUUUAUAAUAUUUCAGAAAAUAUGAAAUUUAUUUUUAAUUAAUAAAAAUUUGGAUUAAAUAUCAAUCAUAAUUUCAUAACUGAUAUGGCCGGUGAUAAAGAACGAGUGAGUCACGCUAGGGCCACGGAUGUAUCACAUUCAUGGUGUGCCUGGGCUUAGUGGUUGAUGUGAAAUAGAUAUAGGUGUAGCGCAUAGUGUAAACGGGCCCAGGGAAAUUCAAAAUCGCGUUGCCACGUUCCAUAGAAAGGACAAGAAAUUAGAAGCUGGGAGUGGUCCACGUCUUCCAGGUAACCCCCACGCUGCUAACGAUUAUUCAAUGCCUUCCUACUCCAAAUCAAACCUAAUGUUCAACAUCGACAUGUCUCAUAUGACACAUCCUUAUAGAUGAAGUUGGUGAACUGUGGAGAAGAGAGAGUAAGGGCGUGUGAGCGGAGAUAAUUCACAAUUGAUUGGCAGGUUUCGGAUAUUUUCUUCGGCUUUGUCCUGGGUUUUUGGAAAGGUUUGAUUGGCCCGACCCAAUCCUACAACCCAUACUAAACCACACAAUCGAAUCCUACGAGAGACCAAACCCAACCUUAAAUCAAGUUCCUCAUUAUGGGCUUCAUAGCCCAACUUAGCACUCCAGCCCAUCCUAACAUUGGGAAAAAUAAAUUAAUGAAAAUUAAGACUAGAUAUGAAUAAUUUCUUUUAUUAUCUUAAACUGCUGAAAGGGAUUAGUUAUCCUACACAGCUUGAACAGAAAAAGAGCCCUCUAAAACUCACCUACUUGAGAUUUAAGGCAUAAAAAAGUCCUUACCUUAAUAAUUGUAAGAGAUCGUUGGAUCAAAUGAUUCAAAUCUGGGACUUGCUCACACAAUCAAUCCAUUUCAUGAGACGAAUUACCAGUGAGGCUCUCUUCACCAUCUACAAGAUUUCGGAUGUAGCGAGUCAAGUAAGAACUUGGACCAUAGCAAAUGCUUGAUAAAAACCCUCCAUACAGUAAGCAAUGGAUGCCAAGCUUAAACAGAUUUUUCCUCUCUUGGUUGGUGUCUCUCUGUGCUUCAUACCCACCAGUACUUUCUUCAUCCCAACUCGAAGAAUCCAUGGCAGUGCAGCCUGAAUGAGCCUGAAAACCCCAGAUCUUGGAAGUUUCCAUCUUUUGCAGCCAGUUGGAAUCAAUGGGAUCUUUAAAUUUUUUACAAAGAUGGUGUCCCUGGAUCAGAAAACUCCAAACUUUUGGUGUAAUACUUGAGACACAGUUAAGGAACUGCUUAGAUAUGUUCUCCAAUCCUCCAUUAUGAGCUUGACUCCCAAAAAAAUUGGCCUCGAAUUCAUCUGCUAGUGAGCACUCAUUGCAUUUAUGACUCUGAAGAGACGAAAGAUUUAGAACAGGCAACCUCCCUUUCACAAAGGAAUUCAAUAGUGAGCUUCUAGCAAGACUUAAAAGGGACUCCCCAGCAUUCAUCCAGAAGUUUGCAAUUGAUGCGAUCAAAGAAGAGUCAGAGAGGAAAAUACGGUGGGUUGCACCUGCAAGCAACAAGGAGUAUGCUGCACUGGUCUUGAUCAAGCUCAAGGCUUCCAGCUCAUCUCCGUCCAUUUCAGAAUGCAGAUCCAGUAAUUGACUAGCACGGACUCUGUAUGCAGAAGCCAGUGUUGUGUAGGCGGCCAAAGAGAGAUGGUGCAGGGGGUGCAACUUGAAAUUUGCUUGUGAUUUUCCCUCAAUUGGUUCUAACUGCUCAUCUGGAAGACCUUGAGCAAUAACAUUCUCAAGCUUCUCACAGCAAGCUUCAGGGUUGCCAACUGACAAAUAGUCAGCUAUAGCAUCAUCUACAUAAUCAGUCAACUUUCUGAUUUCCUCCUCUCUACACAUGUUAUCAUCUAUGUAAUUGAGACUAUGAGCCAAAGUUUCCUAUAGGGAAGAACAGAGAAAUGUCAAUCCUUGUUUUAUGACAGUACUAGAAUUCAGGCACUUCAAUUGCAGAUUAAAAAAUGCUUGUGAAGUUCAGACUUCAGAGUUGAUACAGAAAUAUUGUGAGUACUUCACCGUACAAAGUGGCCCCCGAAAAAUAACCAGAGUGGACAAGGGAAAGGAUAAAACAGGAUGAGAAAAGCUACUAUGAAUUACUCAAUAGCUUUUCCUAGUUCCAAUUGAUAUGGAGAAAAAGACUCCAACUGUCUGUCAGCCUUUUGAGAAGGAAAAAGCAGAUGUAACUAAGGGAGACAACUUGAAGAAACAAAAGAUAUGAAAGGCAAAGAAGAAAAUAAAUAGCACACAUACAGAUUCUGGAUGCAGCUCUAAUUGCAAAUGACGCAGCUGACUCAAGGGAGAGAAGCUCUAGGGCUGGUUUAGUUUGCAAGUUGGACAUAUGUACUUUGGUGUGCCCCUUUUGGCAUUUUAAUACAAUUUGCACUUACCUAUCAAAAAAAAAAAAAAGUUUGCAAUUUGGACAUAGAAAAGGCUUAUGACCAUGUUGAUUGGAAUUUUCUCCUCCCAGUAACGAAAAAGAUGGAGUUUGGUCUAAAAUCGAGAAAGUGGAUUCAUUUUUCCAUUGUAAGGAUGUCAAUCUUAGUCAAUGUUUCUCCUUCAGAUUUCUUUCAGACAUCUAGAGGAUUGUGGCAGGGUGAUCCUCUCUCACCCUAUCUCUUCAUGAUUGUCAUGGAAGCUCUACAUUGUAUACUCUCAAGGGCUGACUAGGGAGUGUUCAUUCAUGGCUUCAAGGUCAGGGGCAGAAGGGGUGAAGGUUUCCAAGUAUUCCAUCUCCUGUUUAAGGAUGAUAGAAAAAUUUGGAUCAACUAAGAUACUGGAGGUGGAUUGUAAUAGGCUUCAAGGUUGUGUUAGGUCUGAAAAUAAACCUGUAAAAAAGUAACUCAUUCUAAUGGGGAAAGUGGAGGAUGUGGUGAGAUCAUCAUCUUUGCUUGGGUGUAAGAUUGGAAGGCUUCCCACUUCUUAUCAUGGUUUGCCCUUUGGAGUGCUUCAUAAGUAUUGCGUUGUAUGGGAUGCUGUCAAGGAAAUGUUUGGUAAAAGAUUGGCUUCUUGGAAGGUGUGGUAUUUGUCAAAAAGAGGAAGAUUAGUUCUUUCAAAGAGCACUUUCUCAAGCUUAUCAAUCUAUUUUAUGGCCUUUUUUUCUAUUUCCAGGAAAGUGAGGAUCAAAUCAUAAAGGAUUCAGAGAGACUUUUUGUAAGGAAAUCUUUGGUAAACCAAUAAGAUGCAUUNNNNNNNNNNNNNNNNNNNNNNNNNNNNNNNNNNNNNNNNNNNNNNNNNNNNNNNNNNNNNNNNNNNNNNNNNNNNNNNNNNNNNNNNNNNNNNNNNNNNAGGAAGAACAUCCAAAGAAAGUGCAGGGAACUGGUCAAGGGGUGGAACAUUUGUGAGGUGAGGGAGACUUCUGGUAUAAGCCUAUGGAAAGACUUAAGAAAAGGUUGGGAGGAAUUCAACCACAGGAUAGCUAUCCAAAUUAAAAAUGGUAGCCAGACAAAAUUUUAGAGGGAUGGGUGGGUGGGUGGGGGGGAACUGUUUGAAAGAAGCAUUUCCUCUAUUGUUUAGUCUAGCUUCUCAAAAGAAUGCCAUUGUUGCAAACAUGUGGGAUGGGAGAGGUAGUGGAGGCCAGUGGGUGCAUUUCAAAAGGCCAUUCCAAGAUUGGGAAAUGGAGGGGGUGUCCUAAUUUUUAGAACUUAUUUAUUCAUACAGCAAAAGUGCAAGAAGAAGGGAAAGAUAUCUUAGUUUGGAAGGAGGAUAGGAAGAGAAUCUUCAGUACUAAGUUGUACUACAGUUCAUUGUGUGCCGAAUUUAGAGUGGACUUCCCAACCAAAGAAAUUUGGGGGCUCCCAAGCUCUUACGAGAUCAUGUUUUCUCACUUGGGAAACAGUAUGGGAGAAGAUCUCAACCAUAGAUUUGUUAAUGAAGAGGGAUGGACAAUGUUAAUAGAUAUAGUCUUUGCAAAGAGAGUGAUGAGUCUGCUGAUCAAAUUUUCAUUCACUGUGCAAUGACAAAGGUAUUAUAGAUGUUUGUUUUAUCAAUUUUUAGUUAGAAAUAAGUUUCUAGCUACAGUGAGGAAUAUGCUUCUCAAGUGGAAGUUUUUAAGGUAUUGGACAAGAAGAGUCACCAUCUUUGACAAAUGACACCCCUCUGCUUAUUCUGGUGUAUAUGGAAAGAGGGAAACCAUAAAAUCUUUAAUGGGGAAGAGCUUGCAUAUUAGAGAUUAAAAGAGAGCUUUAUUAAAUCCCUCUUUGAUUGGUCCAAAGUUCUGUUAGAAAUGGGCAAUUCUGAAUGAUGGCUUUCGUAAAUGGUCUUAGUUGUGGAUAGUUUGGUUUUGAGUUGAGGUUGUUUUUUUAUUCGUUGUUUUGUUUUUUUUGUGUUUACUCCCAGUAUAUGUAAGGUAUGCCCCCUUUCAUUGGCAUGCUCUUUUAAUAUAUUAUCCUUUUGCUUAUCAAAAGAAAAAAAGAAAAAAGAAAAAAGAAAAAUAAAGAGAACACAUAAAUCAGGGGAAGGAUGAAGGAAUUAAACCAAUAGGAAUGAGAAACAGUUGGGUAUAUUUUUUCGACAGAUACUUCAUGCAGCAGGGGCAAGAUGGGGGAAAACCUUACCACUCCUGGUGCCAUAAAUGUGGCAUAUAUGCAUCGUGUUCUAACUCCACACCUAGUACUAUAAUUUUCACAGAAGACGAUCACCCUUCCCCACCCAGCAAAUCUAAAAUCAAGUUGCAAAAUGAAUCUUCUAGACUGCUUUCGGAUUUCUCCUAAACAUCAAAAUAAACAAAUGAUAGGCAUACUGUUCCAUAGAAGUCUUACUUGCAAAACAAGAUCCACAUAAGUAGGGGGCGAUGCAUUACAACGGUUACAGCAACAGGAAAACCAAUACUUCACCCAUAACUCUGCAUGUCUAAUUUCCUGGAAAAUCAAAUCAGUGCAAAUAAAAGCGUAUAACGUGAACUCAAAAAACUAAAAAAAAAACAGAGUAUAGAAGGAUGAGUUGGAACACAUUUUAGCACAAUGCCACUGAGUUCACUUACACUAUGGUGAUUAUGCAAGUAAUAUAAAAUCAUGCAACUUCUCAUUAGGUCGACUCCUUGUCAUUUUUCGCAAUCACUUCAAACAUAAGGCACAAUGCAAUAAUCUAAAAGCUUAAAAGUAAUAGCAGAUAUGCCAAAUUUACAAGCACAUUUUGCACAUUCAAUCUCUUAACAGUGGAACUGUAGAUACUGAAAAUGAAGAUUACCUUAGGCUGCAACAGGUCUAUGUAUGCAACCCACACCUCCUCACCCUUUUUAAUUGCCUUGAUGCUCCGAACGAUGAUUCUUGGCCCGUGUAUGUUGCAUCCUUUACUAGAGAAAAUCAAUUACAAGUAGAUAAUCAAAAUAUCCAAUAAAUUCACAACUGAUUUUUUUGAGAAACCAAAUUGAAAAAAACAUAAAAUAAUUAAAAUAAAAAAGAUUCAAUCACCUUCUAUUGAUUCACUUUUGCUACGAACAGCAUUCUGUAUCUGAAAAACAUUUCGGUUUCAUAAUUUUCAAAUCCUUUGAAUAUGGUUAAAAUUAAAGAAACAAUUCAGAAUUUAGGAAUAGUGAUCUAUUUUUCUUUACUUCAAUUUCAUCAUUGCCUCCAGGGAUAAUCUGGAGCCUCGACUCGCCAGAAAACUGGGGCGUCUCAGGUGAACGGAGCAAGAAACGGUAACAAGCAUUGGGAGAACAGCUGUGAUUGAUCCAAGAGAAGCACCAAUCGUAGACGGCUAUCCCUAGGGCGGACCCUCCAUUAACCUGCACUUCAACUGCAUUGGUGAGGACCAGGCAGAGCAGGGCCUCCUCCAGUUUGGAGUCCCCGGAGAAUUCCGUACCAUCUCGCAUACAUCGGGCAACGGCCAUGGCCUUGCCGCCGUCUCGGAUUCUCGUCAGAGUCUCAUCACUUUCCGAGUUGUGGGAGGGUGAGAUGAGGUGGUGGAGGUUGGUGAGUAGGCCGCAGAUUCGAUGGAGCGGUUGGGUAUGGAGGGGAGGGAGGUGGAGGAUGUGGAGGAGGCGGAGGGCAGCACGGAGGUCGGAGGAGUGAGCGGUGGAGGGGUGGGAAUGGCGGAGGAGGAGGAAGAGGUGGUGCUCGGCGCUGGAGAAGUGGAG